GAUUGAACGCUGGCGGCAGGCCUAACACAUGCAAGUCGAACGGUAACAGGAAGCAGCUUGCUGCUUYGCUGACGAGUGGCGGACGGGUGAGUAAUGUCUGGGAAACUGCCUGAUGGAGGGGGAUAACUACUGGAAACGGUGGCUAAUACCGCAUAACGUCGCAAGACCAAAGAGGGGGACCUUCGGGCCUCUUGCCAUCAGAUGUGCCCAGAUGGGAUUAGCUAGUUGGUGAGGUAACGGCUCACCAAGGCGACGAUCCCUAGCUGGUCUGAGAGGAUGACCAGCCACACUGGAACUGAGACACGGUCCAGACUCCUACGGGAGGCAGCAGUGGGGAAUAUUGCACAAUGGGCGCAAGCCUGAUGCAGCCAUGCCGCGUGUAUGAAGAAGGCCUUMGGGUUGUAAAGUACUUUCAGCGGGGAGGAAGGUGUUGUGGUUAAUAACCACAGCAAUUGACGUUACCCGCAGAAGAAGCACCGGCUAACUCC
rnacentral:rRNA from 1 species